rnacentral:rRNA from 1 species
UAGUUUUUUUAGAAAUAAAUUUAAUUUACAAAUUUUUAAUUUUUAAUUUAUUUUUUUAAUUUAAAAAUUUAUUAAUUUGAAUAUUUUAAGGGAUAAGCUUUAAAAUAAAAUAUUAAAAAUCAUUGAAUAAUUUAUUUAAAAUGUAUGCAUAGAAUUAGCAAUCAUUUAUAAGUUUGUUAUAAAUUAUUUUAUAAUUUGUAUUAUUUAAUUUUGUUUUCAUUGAAUUUAUAAAAAUUUUUUUAUUAAUUUAAAAAUAAAAAGUAAUAAUGAUCAAAUUAGUAUAUUUAAUUGUAUUGUUAAAAUAUUUUAUAUUGAAAAGUUUAUAUAAAGAACUCGGCAAAUUUUAUUUAUACUCGCCUGUUUAACAAAAACAUGUCUUUUUGAAUUAAAUUUAAAGUCUGACCUGCCCACUGAAUAAUUUUAAAUGGCCGCAGUAUUUUGACUGUGCAAAGGUAGCAUAAUCAUUAGUCUUUUAAUUGGAGGCUGGUAUGAACGGUUGGACGAAGUAUAAGCUGUUUCAUAUAAAUUUAUAAUAGAAUUUUAUAUUUUAGUUAAAAAGCUAAAAUUUUAUUAAAAGACGAGAAGACCCUAUAAAUCUUUAUAUUUAAUAUAAACUAAAUUUUUUUGAUUUAUUUUAUUUUUUUUAUAUUAAUUAUUUUGUUGGGGUGAUAUUAAAAUUUAAUGAACUUUUAAUUUUUUAAAAUCAUUAAUUUAUGAAUUAUUGAUCCAUUAAUAUUGAUUAUAAGAUUAAGUUACUUUAGGGAUAACAGCGUAAUUUUUUUUGAGAGUUCAUAUCGACAAAAAAGUUUGCGACCUCGAUGUUGGAUUAAGGUAUAAUUUUGGGUGUAGCCGUUCAAAAAUUAAGUCUGUUCGACUUUUAAA